rnacentral:misc_RNA from 1 species
GCGGAGGAAAAGAAACCAACCGGGAUUGCCUCAGUAACGGCGAGUGAAGCGGCAAGAGCUCAGAUUUGAAACCUGCCAACAGGCCGGAUUGUAAUCUGCAGAGGAGCGCUCGGUGGAGGUGGCGGUGCAAGUCUCCUGGAACGGAGCGCCUGAGAGGGUGAGAGCCCCGUACAUGACCGCCGACUGAAACCGUGUGAGCGCCUUUCGAGGAGUCGAGUUGUUUGGGAAUGCAGCUCUAAAAGGGUGGUAAAUUCCAUCUAAGGCUAAAUACGGGCCAGAGACCGAUAGCGCACAAGUAGAGUGAUCGAAAGAUGAAAAGCACUUUGGAAAGAGAGUCAACCAGUACGUGAAAUUGUUGAAAGGGAAGCGCUUGCGACCAGAGACGACCGCGGUUGUUCAGCCGGACGUUGUCCGGUGCACUCGACCGCGGACGGGCCAGCAUCGGUUCGGGCGGGCGGACAAAGGCGUUGGGAACGUGGCCCCCCCGGGGGGUGUUAUAGCCCGGCGCACAAUACGUCCAGCCUGGACCGAGGGACGCGCAUCUGCUCGGAUGCUGGCGUAAUGGUUGCUAGCGGCCCGUCUUGAAACACGGACCAAGGAGUCUAACAUCCGUGCGAGUGUUAGGGUGGCAAGCCCUGGACGCGCAAUGAAAGUGAACGGAGGUGGGAGCUUCGGCGCACCAUCGACCGAUCCGGAGGAUCUCCGAAGGAUUUGAGUAGGAGCACGGGUGUUGGGACCCGAAAGAUGGUGAACUAUGCGUGAAUAGGGUGAAGCCAGAGGAAACUCUGGUGGAGGCUCGCAGCGGUUCUGACGUGCAAAUCGAUCGUCAAAUUUGCGUAUAGGGGCGAAAGACU